rnacentral:lncRNA from 1 species
CUCUAAACCUGCACUAACAAGGUUUUGUUUCCCAUAUUCAUAUUUCAAUGUCUCUCCUGAUUAUUCUGUGUCUAUAGGCAGUCACUGCUCUUGGGGCUGCUAGGUGGGUGAGAGGAGAACUGAAGUAAUGCCUUUUUUUUUUUUUUUUUUUUUUUGGUACAGAGUUUGAGAUGAAUUCCAUGACCUUUCCUAUGUCCCCAAGUUGAAAUCAAGACUGUUCUUUUCUGAGGAGAGGAAGCUUCACCUGAGCAGAACCUGUAGGCCCGGGCCCUUUGAGUUGCUUCUGCUGGGAUUUCCAGUCGGUUGAUUCUGCAUGUGAAGAACAACGGGGACAGAACAAACGUAGGGAAAGCUGCUCUCUUUCUCUCUCAACAUCUCAUCUGUUGUUCUGGUAUCACUUUUUGAGUAUGGGGCUGACGGAUCGAAGGGAAGUCAUUCUUUGGGGACCAGGUUUUUACUGCCCGACCACCCAAAGAUUUUGCCACCUGUCUGUUUGCCAUUUUCCACAGUGCCCUGAAGGUAUUUUAUUUUCGUGUUGA